CUACGGGAGGCAGCAGUGGGGAAUAUUGCGCAAUGGGGGAAACCCUGACGCAGCAACGCCGCGUGGAGGAUGAAGGCCUUCGGGUUGUAAACUCCUGUCUUCGCUGACGAUAAUGACGGUAAGCGAGGAGGAAGCCACGGCUAACUACGUGCCAGCAGCCGCGGUAAUACGUAGGUGGCGAGCGUUGUCCGGAAUUACUGGGCGUAAAGGGUGCGUAGGCGGAUACUUAAGUCAGAUGUGAAAUUCCGGGGCUUAACUUCGGAACUGCAUUUGAAACUGGGUGUCUAGAGUGCAGGAGAGGAAAGCGGAAUUCCUAGUGUAGCGGUGAAAUGCGUAGAUAUUAGGAAGAACACCAGUGGCGAAGGCGGCUUUCUGGACUGUAACUGACGCUGAGGCACGAAAGCGUGGGGAGCAAACAGGAUUAGAUACCCUGGUAGC
rnacentral:rRNA from 1 species